UGGGGAAUUUUGGACAAUGGGCGAAAGCCUGAUCCAGCAAUGCCGCGUGUGUGAAGAAGGCCUUCGGGUUGUAAAGCACUUUUGUCCGGAAAGAAAUCCUUGGCUCUAAUACAGUCGGGGGAUGACGGUACCGGAAGAAUAAGCACCGGCUAACUACGUGCCAGCAGCCGCGGUAAUACGUAGGGUGCAAGCGUUAAUCGGAAUUACUGGGCGUAAAGCGUGCGCAGGCGGUUUGCUAAGACCGAUGUGAAAUCCCCGGGCUCAACCUGGGAACUGCAUUGGUGACUGGCAGGCUAGAGUAUGGCAGAGGGGGGUAGAAUUCCACGUGUAGCAGUGAAAUGCGUAGAGAUGUGGAGGAAUACCGAUGGCGAAGGCAGCCCCCUGGGCCAAUACUGACGCUCAUGCACGAAAGCGUGGGGGAGCAAACAGGAUUAGAUACCCUGGGUAGUCCACGCCCUAAACGAUGUCAACUAGUUGUUGGGGAUUCAUUUCCUUAGUAACGUAGCUAACGCGUGAAGUUGACCGCCUGGGGAGUACGGUCGCAAGAUUAAAACUCAAAUGAAUUGACGGGGUCAUAGCUGUUUCCU
rnacentral:rRNA from 1 species